rnacentral:lncRNA from 1 species
CCUUAUACUGAGAUUUAGAAUUUGAGCUUAAAAGUCUAUACUACUAUCUUAGAACAAUGAUCUUCCUUUAGACCUUAGUGAACUGAGUCUUUGUUAAAUCAUUGUCUCCCUUUUGUAGGAUGAUAUGACCAAGGGGAGACCAUCAGUAAAAAAAUUCAAAACCAAGGAUGCUCCAAGUAGGGCAUAAUAUAUUGAAUUAUUCUGAGCUAUCCAGGGUUUGACCGCUACCCUGGGUCACAAUAAAGCUCAUAAUAUCGGCCACCCUCCUCCUAUAAACAAUCACCACCCCCAAGAUCAUGGGAUUUCCCACAACAUCUUGGAGUUUUGAAAGUUGAACCCUCCCUAGUUUGAUGGCAAACCAAACCCCAUGGUAGCUAAGGCAUGGAUCAUGCAGAUCGAGAAGCUCUUCUUAGUUUUGGAGCUUACGAAAGUAGAAGGUCCCUUUGGCCGCUUUUCUGUUCACUGUGGAGGUCAAACACGGGUGGCAUCUUAAGAAGGAUACUCUACUAAUAUCAACCACUUAGGACCAGUUUUUGGAUGCCUUUCUGAAGAAUUUCUUUCCAGUAUAUAUCUGCAAGAAAAAAGAGGAAGAAUUUCAGGACUUGCAUCAAGGUAACCUAUCAGUGAAUCAUUAUGAUAUGACAUUCGUCCAGUUGUCCAGAUUUAACCCAG